rnacentral:rRNA from 1 species
AAUUUUCGACAAUGGGGGAAACCCUGAUCCAGCGAUGCCGCGUGCAGGAUGAAGGCCUUCGGGUUGUAAACUGCUUUCGUACGGAACGAAAAGUCUUGGGCUAAUACCCUGGGGUCAUGACGGUACCGUAAGAAUAAGCACCGGCUAACUCCGUGCCAGCAGCCGCGGUAAUACGGAGGGUGCAAGCGUUAAUCGGAAUUACUGGGCGUAAAGCGUGCGCAGACGGUUUUGUAAGACAGUGGUGAAAUCCCCGGGCUCACCCUGGGAACUGCCAUUGUGACUGCAAGGAUGGAGUGCGGCAGAGGGGGAUGGAAUUCCGCGUGUAGCAGUGAAAUGCGUAGAUAUGCGGAGGAACACCGAUGGCGAAGGCAAUCCCCUGGGCCUGCACUGACGCUCAUGCACGAAAGCGUGGGGAGCAAACAGG